rnacentral:rRNA from 1 species
UACAGAGGGUGCAAGCGUUAAUCGGAAUUACUGGGCGUAAAGGGCGCGUCGGUGGUUAAGUAAGUUAGAUGUGAAAUCCCUGGGCUUACCCUAGGAACUGCAUCUAAACCUGCUUAGCUGGAGUAUGAUAGAGGGUAGUGGAAUUUCCGGUGUAGCGGUGAAAUGCGUAGAUAUCGGAAGGAACACCAGUGGCGAAGGCGGCUACCUGGAUUAAUACUGACACUGAGGCGCGAGAGCGUGGGGAGCAAACAGG